GUGGGGAAUCUUAGACAAUGGGCGCAAGCCUGAUCUAGCCAUGCCGCGUGAGCGAUGAAGGCCUUAGGGUUGUAAAGCUCUUUCGCUGGGGAAGAUAAUGACGGUACCAGCAGAAGAAGCCCCGGCUAACUCCGUGCCAGCAGCCGCGGUAAUACGGAGGGGGCUAGCGUUGUUCGGAAUUACUGGGCGUAAAGCGCGCGUAGGCGGACCAGAAAGUUGGAGGUGAAAUCCCAGGGCUCAACCUUGGAACUGCCUUCAAAACUCCUGGUCUGGAGUUCGAGAGAGGUGAGUGGAAUUCCGAGUGUAGAGGUGAAAUUCGUAGAUAUUCGGAGGAACACCAGUGGCGAAGGCGGCUCACUGGCUCGAUACUGACGCUGAGGUGCGAAAGCGUGGGGAGCAAACAGGAUUAGAAACCCGUGUAGUCC
rnacentral:rRNA from 1 species